UCGUGCUAAGCGGAGGGCUCGGGGUCCUCUAUCAACCGCAAAUCCCCGUCAUGGCGGGCUGAAUUCCUAUCAGAGGGCUCUGGCGGUGAUCGCAGCCCUUUCCCGAAGCGUCGAAGGAUGGGUUCCACACGGCGGAAACCCGUGAACCCCGCCAGAUCCGGAAGGAAGCAACGGUAAGCGCCAGUUUCCGGGUGAUGUGGAGGCGCCUGUCCCGAGCGGAAGGUUAGGGAAAUGGGUCAUUGUCAGGGUUCGAAGGUGGGUGCACGG
rnacentral:SRP_RNA from 1 species